CUAACGCUGAGAUACGAUGUCGAGCUACUACGGUAGUGAAGUCAUUGAUGCCAUGCUUCCAGGAAAAGCCUCUAAGCUUCAGAUUGUAAGGAAUCGUACCCCAAACCGACACAGGUGGUCGGGUAGAGAAUACCAAGGCGCUUGAGAGAACUCGGGUGAAGGAACUAGGCAAAAUGGUACCGUAACUUCGGGAGAAGGUACGCUCUUAUCAGUGAAGUCCCUUGCGGAUGGAGCAGACGAGAGUCGCAGAUACCAGGUGGCUGCAACUGUUUAUUAAAAACACAGCACUGUGCAAAAUCGUAAGAUGACGUAUACGGUGUGACGCCUGCCCGGUGCCGGAAGGUUAAUUGAUGGGGUUAGACUUCGGUCGAAGCUCUUGAUCGAAGCCCCGGUAAACGGCGGCCGUAACUAUAACGGUCCUAAGGUAGCGAAAUUCCUUGUCGGGUAAGUUCCGACCUGCACGAAUGGCGUAAUGAUGGCCACGCUGUCUCCACCCGAGACUCAGUGAAAUUGAAAUCGCUGUGAAGAUGCAGUGUACCCGCGGCUAGACGGAAAGACCCCGUGAACCUUUACUACAGCUUGGCACUGAACAUUGAACCUACAUGUGUAGGAUAGGUGGGAGACUAUGAAACCGCGUCGCUAGAUGUGGUGGAGUCGUCCUUGAAAUACCACCCUUGUAGUUUUGAUGUUCUAACGUUGGUCCCUGAAUCGGGAUUACGGACAGUGCCUGGUGGGUAGUUUGACUGGGGCGGUCUCCUCCCAAAGAGUAACGGAGGAGCACGAAGGUGGGCUAAACACGGUUGGACAUCGUGUGGUUAGUGCAAUGGCAUAAGCCCGCUUGACUGCGAGAAUGACAAUUCGAGCAGGUGCGAAAGCAGGUCAUAGUGAUCCGGUGGUUCUGAAUGGAAGGGCCAUCGCUCAACGGAUAAAAGGUACUCCGGGGAUAACAGGCUGAUACCGCCCAAGAGUUCAUAUCGACGGCGGUGUUUGGCACCUCGAUGUCGGCUCAUCACAUCCUGGGGCUGAAGUCGGUCCCAAGGGUAUGGCUGUUCGCCAUUUAAAGUGGUACGCGAGCUGGGUUUAGAACGUCGUGAGACAGUUCGGUCCCUAUCUGCCGUGGGCGUUGGAAAAUUGAAAGGGGCUGCUCCUAGUACGAGAGGACCGGAGUGGACGAACCUCUGGUGUUCGGGUUGUCAUGCCAAUGGCAUUGCCCGGUAGCUAAGUUCGGAAUCGAUAACCGCUGAAAGCAUCUAAGCGGGAAGCGAGCCUUGAGAUGAGUUUUCCCUGGCACUAUAAGUGUCCUAAAGGGUUGUCGUAGACUACGACGUUGAUAGGCAGGG
rnacentral:rRNA from 1 species